AGGCAGCAGCAAGGAAUUUUCCCCAAUGGGCGCACGCCUGAGGGAGCAACGCCGCGUGGAGGAUGACGGCCUUCGGGUUGUAAACUCCUUUUGGGGGGGAAGAGGUUGACGGUACCCCCCGAAUCAGCCCCGGCUAACUCCGUGCCAGCAGCCGCGGUAAGACGGAGGGGGCAAGCGUUGUCCGGAAUCACUGGGCGUAAAGCGCGUGUAGGCGGUCGCGUGCGUCGGUGCUGAAAGCGCCCGGCUUAACCGGGCGAGGCGUGCCGAUACGAUGCGACUGGAGGCAGGCAGAGGGCGGCGGAAUUCCGGGUGUAGCGGUGAAAUGCGUAGAGCUCCGGAGAACGCCGUGGGGCAGCCGGCCGCCUGGGCCUGACCUGACGCUGAGACGCGACAGCUGGGGGAGCAAACCGGAUUAGAUACCCGGGUAGUCCACGCGUAAACGCUGCCGGCUCGGUGACUGGCGCCUGUGAAGCGCCUGGGCGCCUUAGCUCACGCGGGAAGCCGGCCGCCUGGGGAGUACGAGCGCAAGCUUAAAACUCAAAGUAAUUGACGGGGGCCCGCACAAGCAGCGGAGCGUGUGGUUUAAUUCGACGCAACCCGCAGAACCUUACCCAGACUGGACAUGACGGUGCAGACGGCGGAAACGUCGUCGCCUGCGAGGGUCCGUCACAGGUGCUGCAUGGCUGUCGUCAGCUCGUGUCGUGAGAUGUUGGGUUAAGUCCCGCAACGAGCGCAACCCUGCGGUUAGUUACCCGUGUCUAACCGGACUGCCUUCGGGGAGGAAGGCGGGGAUGACGUCAAGUCCGCAUGGCCCUUACGUCUGGGGCGACACACACGCUACAAUGGCGCCGACAAUGCGUCGCUCCCGCGCAAGCGGUUGCUAAUCGCCAAACGGCGCCCCAGUGCAGCUCGGGGGCUGCAACUCGCCCCCGUGAAGGCGGAGUUGCUAGUAAC
rnacentral:rRNA from 1 species